UACGGAGGGGGCUAGCGUUGUUCGGAAUUACUGGGCGUAAAGCGCACGUAGGCGGCUUUGCAAGUUAGAGGUGAAAGCCCGGGGCUCAACUCCGGAAUUGCCUUUAAAACUGCAUCGCUAGAAUUGUGGAGAGGUAGGUGGAAUUCCGAGUGUAGAGGUGAAAUUCGUAGAUAUUCGGAAGAACACCAGUGGCGAAGGCGACUUACUGGACACAUAUUGACGCUGAGGUGCGAAAGCGUGGGGAGCAAACAGGG
rnacentral:rRNA from 1 species